UGCCCCAUGGCUGAGUUGGUUACAGCGUCCGACUGUUAUAUUCUGGCAUCGGAAGGUCGAGAGUUCGAGCCUCUCUGGGGCAG